GACUCGUGACCUAGAACUAGACUAGGGAUCGCUGUCCAGCAAAAAUCCCUUAAAACAAACCACAUAGUUUUUUUUUUGUUUUUUUUUCACACACCACAUAGUUUUCUUAUAGUUCAUAUUCAAAAAGUGUUUAAGUUUCUACGAUCGCCCUCUUCAUGUCGAUUCAAUGUUAAUACCACGUAUUUCUGAUUAGACGAAUAAAUAACAAAAUUAUCAAAAAAGGAAAAAUUAACGCACGAAGGCGUCGUUGAAAAAGUUAUGUCAUUGAAAGUCUAAUCGCCGUGAUUAAGCGGUAAACCUCACGAUGAGACCGUCCGUGACGAUAAAAUGUCAAAGGAAUGUGACGUUAGACUAUCCUUUUCAUUUUUUCUCAGAUUUCAUUUUUUUUUUCCUUUUUCUUU